rnacentral:rRNA from 1 species
GACGAACGCUGGCGGCGUGCUUAACACAUGCAAGUCGAACGGAAAGGCCCUGCUUUUGUGGGGUGCUCGAGUGGCGAACGGGUGAGUAACACGUGAGUAACCUGCCCUUGACUUUGGGAUAACUUCAGGAAACUGGGGCUAAUACCGGAUAGGAGCUCCUGCUGCAUGGUGGGGGUUGGAAAGUUUCGGCGGGUGGGGAUGGACUCGCGGCUUAUCAGCUUGUUGGUGGGGUAGUGGCUUACCAAGGCUUUGACGGGUAGCCGGCCUGAGAGGGUGACCGGCGACACUGGAGCUGGGCCACCGACCAUAGGCCUAAGAGACGGAGCAGUGGGGAACGGUGGACAGUGGGGGGAAGCCUGGUCCAAUCAGACGGAGUCGGUGGCGGAGGCGCUCGGGUUGGAAAGACCUUCUGUGGGGAAUAAACCGCAGCCGGCUAUGACGAAGCUGUUGUGACGGUACCGGAUGAAUAAGCACCGGCUAACUACGUG